rnacentral:rRNA from 1 species
GACGAACGCUAGGCGGCGUGCUUAACACAUGCAAGUCGAGCGGUAAGGCCCUUUCGGGGGUACGACGAGCGGCGAACGGGUGAGUAACACGUGGGUGACCUGCCCUCAGCUCUGGGAUAAGCCUGGGAAACCGGGUCUAAUACCGGAUAUGACUCCAUGACGCAUGUUGUGGGGUGGAAAGCCUUGUGCGGCUGAGGAUGGGCCCGCGGCCUAUCAGCUUGUUGGUGGGGUGACGGCCUACCAAGGCGACGACGGGUAGCCGGCCUGAGAGGGCGACCGGCCACACUGGGA